rnacentral:rRNA from 1 species
UGAGGAAUAUUGGGCAAUGCCCGCAAGGGUGACCCAGCAACGCCGCGUGGAGGAUGAAUGUCGUAAGAUUGUAAACUCCUGUUAGAGGGGAAGAAUAGUACCGGUUGGACCGGUAUAUGACUGUACCCUCAGAGUAAGCCCCGGCUAACUACGUGCCAGCAGCCGCGGUAAUACGUAGGGGGCAAGCGUUGUCCGGAUUUACUGGGUGUAAAGGGCGCGCAGGCGGGAUAAAAAGUCAGUGGUGAAAUCCUACAGCUUAAAUGUAGAACUGCCUUUGNUACUUGUAUUCUUGAGUUCGGGAGAGGGAGACGGAAUUCCAGGUGUAGUGGUGAAAUACGUAGAUAUCUGGAAGAACACCAGUUGCGAAGGCGGUCUCUUGGUCCGACACUGACGCUGAGGGGCGAAAGCGUGGGGAGCAAACA